UACGGGGGGAGCAAGCGUUGUUCGGAUUUACUGGGCGUAAAGGGCGCGUAGGCGGCCACCGCAAGUCGGUUGUGAAAUCUCCGGGCUUAACCCGGAAGGUCAAUCGAUACUGCGGGGCUAGAGUGCAGAAGGGGCAACUGGAAUUCUCGGUGUAGCGGUGAAAUGCGUAGAUAUCUGGAGGAACACCGGUGGCGAAGGCGACAUCCUGGACCGCAUUG
rnacentral:rRNA from 1 species